UCUCCUGAAUUGCUGCUCUUGUACACGGGACCUCCCACAUUCGUAUGGGGCCACAGCACCGGCUCCGGCUCCGUGGGACCUCCUCUCUGCGCCUUGUCCCUUGUCCCUGUCUUACCCCCUCCCCGGAGGCCUCUGCACAGCAGCUGGCUCUGCCUUGAACUCUGUCUUGAGUUAUGUAACUCUGAAUCAUCCUCUGGAUCUCUCCCUGCACCCAAAGUUGGUUUCCUCCGCGGGCGGGGGGUGCUUCCCUGGCAUCUCUGACUAGGACCCACCCCAUGAGGAUAGGAUUCCGGAGCACCACCAGAUACCUAAGAGUGGAAUUGCUGGGUCAUUCAGGUGGAUGUAUGUUGCAUUUAUCAGAAACUGCUAAGAAGUUCUCUACCAGUGGUUGUGCCAUUUUAUACUCCAAGCAACGUAGCAGAGUCUUGGAAUUGGAUCCCCAUUUCUGUCAGAGACUGCCAACAUUUUUGUUUCCCAAAGGUCCAUUUCUUCCCAGUGGCAGUAUGUCUUCCUUGGCAUCAGCUUCCACCGCACAGACCUGGCCAGCUCCAGCCUCUGGCGGGGAGCUCCAGCUCCUGGACCCAGUGCCUGUGACAGACAUCCUUCAUCCACCUGCAUGCAGCUUCAGAAUCCUUCUCAACACUCUUCUCCCUGUGGCUACUCCCUAAGGACCUGGAUAAAACACAUGAAAGGAAACUGUCUUGCUGAUGUGAUAGUCCUUCAGUGAACACGGGGUUGGAAUGAACACCCCAUCCUCUAGGAAGAAUGGACAGAUAUUAUGCAAUUCAUUGGAUCAAUAAAGAAAUAGAUCUCGGGAUGCCUGGGUGGCUCAGUCGGUUAAGC